rnacentral:tRNA from 1 species
GGUACAGCUCAGUGGUAAAGCAUGUGGUUAGCAUGCACGAGGCCUUGGGUUCAAUCUCCAAGACCA